CCGUCUGACUUUCUCAAUUUCUCUCUCUCUCUCUCUCUCUCUCUUUCUGUCUCUGUCUCUGUCUCUGUCUCUCUUCCUCGUUCUCUCCAGUCUUCCACGACCUUUCCUUCCGUACACGUCGCUCUCUUAUCGCGAAGUGCAGGUGUAUAAACAACAAAGGAUCGAAAUAAUUGACGAAUUCCUCUUACUUUUCUCUCUAUCUACGUAUGUGUGUGUGUGUUGUGCGUAUUUCGCUAAGGGAUUCAUAUGAGGGAUUGAUUUCAAAAUAAAGAAAAAAAAAAAAGAAAGA